UAGAACUCUUUGAGUAAAUUUGAAACUCGCUUUCAAUUAUAAAUUUUGAGAAUAACGUGAUACUAAUACAGGAUUCUGCUCACCAUAUGAAAAAUUGGAUCUCAAUGAAAUAUGAGUUAGCUAGUUACAUAUAAAGAUUGGUAACAAUUAUUUACCGGAGCUUAUUAACUGGCCAAAGUGAAGGAAUUGUUUAACCGAAGCACCUGCUGGGGAAUGUCCAAAUAUUAAAGAUAUUACAGAAACCCUUUGUCAUCGGAUGAGGCGC